rnacentral:rRNA from 1 species
AUCCAGCCAUGCCGCGUGUGUGAAGAAGGCCUUUAGGUUGUAAAGCACUUUAAGCGAGGAGGAGGAGCUCUUGGUUAAUACCCAAGAUGCUUGGACGUUACUCGCAGAAUAAGCACCGGCUAACUCUGUGCCAGCAGCCGCGGUAAUACAGAGGGUGCAAGCGUUAAUCGGAUUUACUGGGCGUAAAGCGCGCGUAGGUGGCCAAUUAAGUCAAAUGUGAAAUCCCCGAGCUUAACUUGGGAAUUGCAUUCGAUACUGGUUGGCUAGAGUAUGGGAGAGGAUGGUAGAAUUCCAGGUGUAGCGGUGAAAUGCGUAGAGAUCUGGAGGAAUACCGAUGGCGAAGGCAGCCAUCUGGCCUAAUACUGACACUGAGGUGCGAAAGCAUGGGGAGCAAACAGGAUUAGAUACCCUGGUAGUCCAUGCCGUAAACGAUGUCUACUAGCCGUUGGGGCCUUUGAGGCUUUAGUGGCGCAGCUAACGCGAUAAGUAGACCGCCUGGGGAGUACGGUCGCAAGACUAAAACUCAAAUGAAUUGACGGGGGCCCGCACAAGCGGUGGAGCAUGUGGUUUAAUUCGAUGCAACGCGA